CACCCUCCCACCCAAAGUCCUAACUCGCAGCACUCAUCCACCAUUUCUCCACCCGGCGCCGCUUCUGCUCCGCCGCUGCUCACCACCAUCUCACCUCUCCUUCACCACCACACCAUCUUCUCUAGAUCCGCCGCCCACUAAUCAAUUUUAGUUUAUUGAAAAUUUAGUUUCUACCAAUAAAUUUUAGGCGGGCCUCAAACCUUCCCCAAUCUCCAAUUUUGACGGCGGUGGUGGCGAUAAGGAAGAGCAAGAGAAGAGAAAAGAACAAAGAGACGCAAUUUUUGGACCUAGCAGGUUUGACCGUUAUCAAUGUCGCCGCCGUCGUCGAGAGAAAUUGCUUGGACAUGUUAGAUAGGCUAUUGCUGUAAUUGGGACUGGGUUAGCCUCGGGUUGUACGGAUUCGGGUUUGGUUUGGAGAUUGUAGAAGAUGAGGUGUGGUGGUGCUGACCUUCUUCUCUUUCUCUUGUUGGGGUUUUGGGGUGGGGAACGGGGAAGAAGACCGUUCUUCUGUCUUCUCUUUUUGUUUUUUUUU
rnacentral:lncRNA from 1 species